rnacentral:RNase_P_RNA from 1 species
CGAGUCCGCCAGGCAGUCGCGGCGGGAUCGUCCCGUCGAGGAAAGUCCGAGCUCCGCAGAGCAGGGUGCCGGAUAACGUCCGGUCGGGGUGACCCGAAGGAGAGUGCCACAGAAAAGACACAGCCGUCGCGCAAGUGGCGGCGAAGGUGAAAUGGUGCGGGUAAGAGCCCACCAGCAGCCGGGAGACCGGCUGGCUCGGUAAACCCCACCCGGAGCAAGACCGAAUAGGAGGACGAUACGGCUGGCUCGGCCGGUCCUCGGGUUAGGUCGCUAGAGUCGCCGGGUAACCGGCGACGAAGACGGAUGACUGCCGCCCCACGGCGCGCCGGCUCAGCCGGCUGAAGCGGGGAACAGAACUCGGCUUAUCGGCGGACUCACUUU